UGGGGAAUAUUGCACAAUGGGGGAAACCCUGAUGCAGCGACGCCGCGUGAGCGAAGAAGGUUUUCGAAUCGUAAAGCUCUGUCCUAUGAGAAGAUAAUGACGGUAUCAUAGGAGGAAGCCCCGGCUAAAUACGUGCCAGCAGCCGCGGUAAUACGUAUGGGGCGAGCGUUGUCCGGAAUUAUUGGGCGUAAAGGGUACGUAGGCGGUCUAUUAAGUCAGGUGUGAAAGCGUGAGGCUUAACCUCAUUAAGCACUUGAAACUGAUAGACUUGAGUGAAGGAGAGGAAAGGGGAAUUCCUAGUGUAGCGGUGAAAUGCGUAGAUAUUAGGAGGAAUACCGGUGGCGAAGGCGACUUUCUGGACUUUUACUGACGCUCAGGUACGAAAGCGUGGGGAGCAAACAGG
rnacentral:rRNA from 1 species